rnacentral:rRNA from 1 species
GCUUACACAAUGCAGUCGAACGGUAGCAGGAGAUAGCUUGCUUUCUUGCUGACGAGUGGCGGACGGGUGAGUAAUGCUUGGGAAUCUGGCUUAUGGAGGGGGAUAACUACUGGAAACGGUAGCUAAUACCGCGUAAUGUCUUCGGAUUAAAGGGUGGGAUCUUCGGACCACUUGCCAUAAGAUGAGCCCAAGUGGGAUUAGGUAGUUGGUGGGGUAAAGGCCUACCAAGCCGACGAUCUCUAGCUGGUCUGAGAGGAUGGCCAGCCACACUGGAACUGAGACACGGUCCAGACUCCUACGGGAGGCAGCAGUGGGGAAUAUUGCACAAUAGGGGGAACCCUGAUGCAGCCAUGCCGCGUGAAUGAAGAAGGCCUUCGGGUUGUAAAGUUCUUUCGGUGAUGAGGAAGGCAGAUAAGUUAAUAGCUUAUCUGAUUGACGUUAGUCACAGAAGAAGCACCGGCUAACUCCGUGCCAGCAGCCGCGGUAAU